rnacentral:rRNA from 1 species
UGCCCUUUGGCGCGGGGCAACAGCUCGAAAGGGCUGCUAAUACCGCAUAAGUCGGUGACGACUCAAGUUGUUACCGGGAAAUGGAGACCUCUCCCUGGAAGUUUUCGCCGAAGGAUGGGCCCGCGUUCCAUCAGCUUGUUGGUGAGGUAAUGGCUCACCAAGGCUUAGACGGAUAGCUGGUCUGAGAGGAUGAUCAGCCACACUGGGACUGAGACACGGCCCAG